CCGCCGCUCGCGGGGUGCGCCGGGGGCUCCGAUGGGAACCGAGCGCGGGGGACCCGGGACCACACAGGUGAGCCCCGCCCGCGGGCUCCCGCUCCACCGAGUUCCCCUAUCCCACGAUCCCGCCCGCCAUCCCCUCCCCCUCGCUCCUCCACCCCAGCUCCGAUGCACUUUCCCAAGCCCGAAGGAGCCCUCGCUGCACCCCGAACCCGUUCUCCGCGCCCUGCUUUCUCCGAGGGGGGGAAAAAAAAAGGGAGAGAAAGAGAGAGAAGCAAGCAGAUGCGGCGCAAAGCGGGGCGCAGGACAGCAAGGGGCGGCGCGCCUCCAGCCUGGAGGGACUUUGCUUGGAAAGGUGGAGACCCCCGGAGGAGGGCGACUCCCCAAGGCUCCGAUGCCCUGGAGCGAAAAGGCGGCCGUGGGUCAGCUUUGCUGCCAGAAAAUUUAGCAAACUUUGGGCAGAUCCACCUGGGGCGAGAGCUCUGGCUGGCCUGGGGCUCAGCCCCGGGACCUUUCCUUUCACAUUUUAAAGAGCCUGAAGGCAUUUUUUCCGUGGAAACCAGGCCAGUGCGAGGACAACUU
rnacentral:lncRNA from 1 species